GACGAACGCUGGCGGCGUGCUUAACACAUGCAAGUCGAACGGAAAGGCCCUGCUUUUGUGGGGUGCUCGAGUGGCGAACGGGUGAGUAACACGUGAGUAACCUGCCCUUGACUUUGGGAUAAAUUCAGGAAACUGGGGCUAAUACCGGAUAGGAGCUCCUGCUGCAUGGUGGGGGUUGGAAAGUUUCGGCGGUUGGGGAUGGACUCGCGGCUUAUCAGCUUGUUGGUGGGGUAGUGGCUUACCAAGGCUUUGACGGGUAGCCGGCCUGAGAGGGUGACCGGCCACAUUGGGACUGAUAUACGGCCCAGACUCCUACGGGAGGCAGCAGUGUGGAAUAUUGCACAAUGGGCGGAAGCCUGAUGCAGCAACGCCGCGUGCUGGAUGACGGCCUUCGGGUUGUAAACCGCUUUCGCCUGUGACGAAGCGUGAGUGACGGUAAUGGGUAAAGAAGCACCGGCUAACUACGUG
rnacentral:rRNA from 1 species